CAAAAGAUGUUUCAGAUAAGAAGACAUGGGACCAGUUUCAUGAAUUCAAGAUGUAUCAGGGAAUUGAAGAGCCAGCCAGAUCACUGAGUUUCUGAAAAUGCUUCAGAGCCAUAAAAGUGAAACAAGUGUCCUGUUAUUGAUGAAGGUGACUUUUGGACCCCACCCACAAGUGGGGGCUGGUUGUCAGGAAGACCAGUCAUAUGAUUAUAGGAUUGGAACUUUCAGUUCUACCACCCAACCUCUGGGGAGGGGAAAGGAGCUGGAGGUUGAAUCAGCCAAUGGCCAGUGUCUUAGUCAAUCAUGAUAUAUAAUGAAGCCUCUAUAAAAGCCCUAGAGGACUGGGUUCAGAGAUCUUCUGGGUUGGUGAACACAUGGGGAUGCAGAGAGAGUACCACACCUGGAAGGAGCAUGGAAGAUACAUGUCCUCACCCCAUAAGUUGUCCCAUGUAUCUCUUCAUCUGGCUGUUAGUUUAUACCCUUUAUCAUAUCCUUUCAUAAACUGGGCAUAAAUAUAAUGGAAGUAAAUGUU